rfam:Triticum aestivum genome assembly, contig: Triticum_aestivum_CS42_TGACv1_scaffold_059296_1BS
GCAUGUUAUCAUACCAGCACUAAAGCAUCGGAUCCCAUCAGAACUCCGAAGUUAAGCGUGCUUGGGCGAGAGUAGUACUAGGAUGGGUGACCUCCUGGGAAGUCCUCGUGUUGCAUUCC